UCCGAUAUGGUCUAGUGGCUAGGAUUUGUCGCUCUCAUCAGAGUAGUUCGCUCUAAGCGCCGACAAGGCCCGGGUUCGAUUCCCGGUGUCGGAA
rnacentral:tRNA from 1 species